ACUGCUCAGUAACACGUGGACAACCUGCCCUUUAGGUUGGGUAUAAACCCGGGAAACUGGGUAUAAUACCCGAUAGGUCUCGAUUGCUGGAAUGCAUCGAGAUUUAAAGCUCCGGCGCCUAAGGAUGGGUCUGCGGCCUAUCAGGUAGUAGUGGGUGUAGCGUACCUACUAGCCUACGACGGGUACGGGUUGUGAGAGCAAGAGCCCGGAGAUGGAUUCUGAGACACGAAUCCAGGCCCUACGGGGUGCAGCAGGCGCGAAAACUUUACAAUGCUGGCAACAGCGAUAAGGGAACCUCGAGUGCCAGGUUACAAAUCUGGCUGUCGAGAUGCCUAAAAAGCAUUUCAUAGCAAGGGCCGGGCAAGACCGGUGCCAGCCGCCGCGGUAACACCGGCGGCUCGAGUGGUAACCGUUAUUAUUGGGUCUAAAGGGUCUGUAGCCGGCCGGAUAAGUCUCUUGAGAAAUCUGGCAUCUUAACUGUCAGGCUUUCAGGAGAUACUGUCUGGCUCGAGGCCGGGAGAGGUGAGAGGUACUUCAGGGGUAGGGGUGAAAUCUUGUAAUCCUUGAAGGACCACCAGUGGCGAAGGCGUCUCACCAGAACGGACCUGACGGCAAGGGACGAAAGCUAGGGGCACGAACCGGAUUAGAUACCCGGGUAGUCCUAGCCGUAAACGAUACUCGCUAGGUGUCGGCCACGGUGCGACCGUUGUCGGUGCCGUAGGGAAGCCGUGAAGCGAGCCACCUGGGAAGUACGGCCGCAGGGCUGAAACUUAAAGGAAUUGGCGGGGGAGCAC
rnacentral:rRNA from 1 species